AUGCAUAUAUCAGCACAAGCCGAAAGGCAAAGUCGCUAGAAGCUCAUUACAGCAGUCGCGGUUUACUAGACAGUGAAUUUUGGAUAACUGUGSUAGUUUAGAGCUGAUACAUUUUCAAAGCCCGGACUUCGGAAUGGGCGAAUUUUAUUAGAACAAAGCCAAUCAGACGAAUGUUUUGAGUACCAAGUGGAGGGCAAGUCUGGUGCCAGCAGCCGCGGUAAUUCCAGCUCCACUAGUUUGUGUCACCGGUUGCGGUUAAAAAGCUCGUAGUUGGAUCUAAGGCUGUGAAUAGUCGUCCCCCAAUGGGGUUGUACUGCUACUUCAGGUCUGUUCUGUCGGUUGGUUCGCAGUGUCCUUAACUGGAUGUUGUGCGCUGCUGGCAAUUAAAGCAAAUAUUGCUCGAAUAGUUGUGCAUGGAAUAAUACAAUAGGGCCUUGGCUCUGUUUUGUUGGUUUUAGGAGCACGAGGCAAUGAUUAAGAGAAACAGACGGGGGCAUCUGUAUUGCGACGUUAGAGGUGAAAUUCUUGGAUCGUCGUAAGACAAACAACUGCGAAAGCAUUUGCCAAGAAUGA
rnacentral:rRNA from 1 species